ACCAACAGGGAUUGCCCUAGUAACGGCGAGUGAAGCGGCAACAGCUCAAAUUUGAAAUCUGGCUCUUUUAGGGUCCGAGUUGUAAUUUGCAGAGGGCGCUUUGGCUUUGGCAGCGGUCCAAGUUCCUUGGAACAGGACGUCACAGAGGGUGAGAAUCCCGUACGUGGUCGCUAGCUAUUGCCGUGUAAAGCCCCUUCGACGAGUCGAGUUGUUUGGGAAUGCAGCUCUAAAUGGGAGGUAAAUUUCUUCUAAAGCUAAAUAUUGGCCAGAGACCGAUAGCGCACAAGUAGAGUGAUCGAAAGAUGAAAAGCACUUUGGAAAGAGAGUCAAACAGCACGUGAAAUUGUUGAAAGGGAAGCGCUUGCAGCCAGACUUGCUUGCAGUUGCUCAUCCGGGCUUUUGCCCGGUGCACUCUUCUGUAGGCAGGCCAGCAUCAGUUUGGGCGGUGGGAUAAAGGUCUCUGACACGUUCCUUCCUUCGGGUUGGCCAUAUAGGGGAGACGUCAUACCACCAGCCUGGACUGAGGUCCGCGCAUCUGCUAGGAUGCUGGCGUAAUGGCUGUAAGCGGCCCGUCUUGAAACACGGACCAAGGAGUCUAACAUCUAUGCGAGUGUUUGGGUGUCAAGCCCGAGCGCGUAAUGAAAGUGAACGGAGGUGGGAACCCGCAAGGGCGCACCAUCGACCGAUCCUGAAGUUUACGGAAGGAUUUGAGUAAGAGCAUGGCUGUUGGGACCCGAAAGAUGGUGAACUAUGCUUGAAUAGGGUGAAGCCAGAGGAAACUCUGGUGGAGGCUCGCAGCGGUUCUGACGUGCAAAUCGAUCGUCAAAUUUGGGCAUAGGGGCGAAAGACUAAUCGA
rnacentral:rRNA from 1 species